rnacentral:ncRNA from 2 species
CAGAGUUCUCGGGGCGGGGUGCAAUUCCCCACCGGCGGUGAUGGCGUCCACACGGGUGGUGCGUCGAGCCCGCGAGCGCCCGCCACAGCGGCGGGGUCAGCAGAUCCGGUGUGAAUCCGGAGCCGACGGUGACAGUCCGGAUGUGAGAGAACGGGG